GUAGGUGGCAAGCGUCGUCCGGAAUUAUUGGGCGUAAAGCGCGCGCAGGCGGUUCUUUAAGUCUGAUGUGAAAGCCCACGGCUCAACCGUGGAGGGUCAUUGGAAACUGGAGAACUUGAGUACAGAAGAGGAAAGCGGAAUUCCACGUGUAGCGGUGAAAUGCGUAGAGAUGUGGAGGAACACCAGUGGCGAAGGCGGCUUUCUGGUCUGUAACUGACGCUGAGGCGCGAAAGCGUGGGGAGCAAACAGGGAUUAGAUACCCUGGUAGUCCACGCCGUAAACGAUGAGUGCUAAGUGUUAGGGGGUUUCCGCCCCCUUAGUGCUGCAGCUAACGCAUUAAGCACUCCGCCUGGGGAGUACGGCCGCAAGGCUG
rnacentral:rRNA from 1 species